CCUGAUGGAGCAACGCCGCGUGUGUGAUGAAGGCUUUCGGGUCGUAAAGCACUGUUGUAUGGGAAGAACAGCUAGAGUAGGGAAUGACUUUAGUUUGACGGUACCAUACCAGAAAGGGACGGCUAAAUACGUGCCAGCAGCCGCGGUAAUACGUAUGUCCCGAGCGUUAUCCGGACCUAUUGGGCGUAAAGCGAGCGCAGACGGUUAAUUAAGUCUGAUGUGAAAGCCCGGAGCUCAACUCCGGAAAGGCAUUGGAAACUGGUUAACUUGAGUGCAGUAGAGGUAAGUGGAACUCCAUGUGUAGCGGUGGAAUGCGUAGAUAUAUGGAAGAACACCAGCGGCGAAGGCGGCUUACUGGACU
rnacentral:rRNA from 1 species